rnacentral:tRNA from 2 species
GCUGGGGUAGCUCAGUUGGUAGAGCAUCUCCAUGGUAAGGAGAAGGUCGUGGGUUCAAUUCCCAUCCCCAGCU